CCUACGGGUGACAGCAGUGGGGAAUAUUGCACAAUGGGGGAAACCCUGAUGCAGCGACGCCGCGUGAGUGAAGAAGUAUUUCGGUAUGUAAAGCUCUAUCAGCAGGGAAGAAAAUGACGGUACCUGAUUAAGAAGCCCCGGCUAACUACGUGCCAGCAGCCGCGGUAAUACGUAGGGGGGAAGCGUUAUACGGAUUGACUGGGUGUAAAGGGAGCGUAGAUGGCAGCACAAGUCUGGAGUGAAAUGCCCGGGCUUAACCCCGGAACCGCCUUGGAAACUGUGGGUCUUGAGUGGAAGAGAGGUAAGCGGAAUGCGUAGUGUAGCGGUGAAAUGCGUAGAUAUUAGGAGGAACACCAGUGGCGAAGGCGGCUUACCGGACUGUAACUGACGUUGAGGCUCGAAAGCGUGGGGAGCAAACAGGAUUAGAUACCCCAGUAGUC
rnacentral:rRNA from 1 species